GACGUAGGGCGCGAGCGUUGUCCGGAUUUAUUGGGCGUAAAGAGCGUCGUAGGCGGUGUGUCGACGGCGGCCGUGAAAAACCCUGCAGCCUUAACUGUGGGCUUGCAGCUGAUACGGGCAGGCGUUGAGUUCGGUAGGGGAGACUGGGAAUUCCUGGAUGUAGCGGUGAAAUGCGCAGAUAUUGGGAGGAACACCAGUGGCGGAAGGCGGCUCACUGGACCGGAACUGACGCUGAGGCGGCGAAAAGCGUGGGGAGCAAACAGG
rnacentral:rRNA from 1 species